rnacentral:rRNA from 1 species
AGAAUAGCUCGUAGGGAACGGGUAGGUAAUGCGUAGGACGCUCCAACUUGACGCAUGUCUUGUUGGGAAAGUGUUUAGUGGCAUGGGAUGGGGUCGCGUCCUAUCAGCUUGUAGGCGGGGUAAUGGCCCACCUAGGCUUCGACGGGUAGCCGGCCUGAGAGGGCGGACGGCCACAUUGGGACUGAGAUACGGCCCAGACUCCUACGGGAGGCAGCAGUA